GCGCGCAGCUUUCUUACACAUGUUUUAAUUAGCAAAAGUUUGACCGUUUAAGUACGACUGAUUGUUACAUGAUUGAUGACAGCCUACUACAGAAAGAAUAUUUAGACUUCAGACCUGUAAAAAAAUAGUGGUAUUACGCCUGAGGCAAAAAUAAUUUCGUUGAAAAUCAGUUGUUUCCCCUUCGCUAUGUUUCCGGUUUCGGAUUUUAACAGUAAAAACAGGGAAGCAUGUGAUGUUUACUUUUGUUUAACUACCUUUUGUUCAACGAUGAAGGGAUCUGAGACUUGUAAUACUGUUUACUGAUUUGAUGAUAUUCCUUGUUCCUUUGAUGGUUCAUUCCACUAUACAGCUGUUUCAUAUAACAUACAACAGCCAGGAAAUUGGCCUGUUUACUUUAAGAUCCCAAGAAAAUGUAACAUAUUUUGGAUGUGCUUUGAGGAAUCAGGAAUGCAAGUGUUUCCUCUUGUUUAUGAAGCAACUCAGUUGGUUAAGGGGCAGACAACUUGUGAGCAUGGUACAUCACUACCUGUAUUGGUAUUCCAUUUUGACAAUGUUACUGGCUAGAAUAGAAAUAACAUCUUGCUGUGGUACAGUCUGUGGAGACUUUUACUAGGAUAUCAGAGAUGAUUGAAUAUUCAACAAUGAUCACAGACCAUGAAAAGUUUGAAUCUGACUUGCACUUUUGAAUUUAGAAGAAUCUGUGGAGGAGGUUGAAUACUGAGACCUUUAAUAAUACAUGAUAUUGCUGACACAGUGUGUCGGUCAUGAAAGAAAGGCCAUAACACUGCACAGUUGGUCAACAAUGAUUUAAAUCCUGUCACAUUCUACCAGUGAAGAAAUAUCUUAUCACAAUAUUUUAAACUUUUGAAGAAGAUAACCCAGUAUUACCACUUUAUCAUGUCUGCAGAAACACAUGGAUUGUUAGUGUUAAAAGUGACAGUCCAGUUAACUUACUAAAAUCUACUCCCCCUUGCCAAACGAAUAUUAUUGACAUGGAAUGACACAAGCCUGACAAUGGUACCUGUAUGGACUCGUAAGAGAAUAGUAUUUGUCUGAAAAGUCAAAGGAUUCUGUUUGUCCCAAACCACUUCAAUUGAAAACUGAAAUUGUGAUUGGCGAGGAUUUUUCUGAGAACUGAAAAAAGGAAGUGAAUGUAAAAGAUAGAAAUUGUUGUUGAAUUCAAACGUUUUAAUACACAACACUUUAGCCUGUUUUGCUGUUCAUAUAGAUGUGUUUAGCUGUUAAGGUUAAACAUCAAGUAGAGGUUGUAGUUUCAGUCACCAACAUUAAAGUAUUGGCUGGAAAUAAAUAUCUACUUUUCAUCAGAGUUUGUAGCAGUGUAACCUUCAUCAAAAGUUAAGCUGUUGUGUUAAUUAUUAAAGUAUUUUUAGAAAAAGGAAUUUAGUAUGUAUGUUGCCAUGGUAACAUAAUUCAAAUUAUAUUUCAUUGAAAUUAUGGAUUUGUAUUUCAAUAAGUGAUCUACAGUAUAUAAUGUAAUGGUAAAAGAAUGUUCACUUUUUUGUAUUGUCAGUUAUAACUAGCCAGUGAAAAAACAGAUUAUGAGGAAAGGGAUGACUGAAAUGUUUAUUCUUACAUAACUACUUUUGUUACAGAACAUGACUGUUUUUAAAUUUUUUAUGUGAAAUUUUCAGAUUUCUUUCCUGAAUACUUAUACUUUCAAAUAUUUAACUUACUAGAAAUACUUCUUUAAAAUAAGCUCUUGCUUUUAAGUAUUAUUGUAGGAAAAGGAAAUUUAAAACAUAUGUCGCCAUGGUAACACAAUUUUCCUACAAAAUAUGGAAAAAUUUUGAGAUAAUAUUUUUGAAUACAUACCACUUUAUAAUAUUCAAGUUAUCGGAAACACGUUUCCAAAUUUAGCUCUGUUUUAAAGUACUAUUGUAGAAAACAGAAUCAAAUGCAUAUGUUGCCAUGGUAACAUAAUUUAAUAAUGUUUUUAUAGAAAAUGUGAAGGACUUUAGCCAGCUAGAUCGUUGCACUUUAAGUGAAUAUCUAAAUAUUCUUUGUAAAAGAAGAUUCAUUUAUUUAAAAACAGCCAGUGAUUACCAGUAAUUGAAAACACAAACUGAAGAAACAACGACUGAAAUAGUUUAUUCUUGUGGUUAUUACCCGUGUUACGAAAUCUGUCAUAAAAUCAAACAUUUUAUAUCUUUUCACAUAUAAUAUUCAAAUUUUACUUUCAAAUACAUAUACUUCAUUAUAUUCAACUUACAAGAAACAUUAUUUUAAAUUAAGCUUUUAUUUUUAAGUAAUUUUGUAGAAAAAGCAAUUUAUUGCAUAUGUUGCCAUGGUAACGCAAUUUGAAUAAUGCUUUCAUAGAAAAUAUGAAAGAUUUAAAUUAGCUUUUUUUUCUGUUUUAAGUAA